rnacentral:snoRNA from 1 species
UAAUAUGAUGACUUGAGUGCAUUUGGCUAGAGUAUCGCGCCUGUCACGGCUGGUCAACCGUUCCGGUCCCAGUUUGUGUAGGGAGCUUUCCAUGAUGAAAAAUCUCAGCUACCUUACAAUUUUCGUCUGAAA